rnacentral:tRNA from 2 species
GCGGAAGUAGCUCAGUUGGUUAGAGCGUCGCCCUGUCACGGCGAAGGUCGCGGGUUCGAGCCCCGUCUUUCGCGCCA